UACGUAGGGUGCAAGCGUUAAUCGGAAUUACUGGGCGUAAAGCGUGCGCAGGCGGUUGUGUAAGACAGAUGUGAAAUCCCCGGGCUCAACCUGGGAACUGCAUUUGUGACUGCACAGCUGGAGUGCGGCAGAGGGGGGAUGGAAUUCCGCGUGUAGCAGUGAAAAUGCGUAGAUAUGCGGAGGAAACACCGAUGGCGAAGGCAAUCCC
rnacentral:rRNA from 1 species